rnacentral:rRNA from 1 species
UAAUACGUAGGGGGCGAGCGUUGUCCGGAAUUACUGGGCGUAAAGGGAGCGUAGGCGGCCGAUUAAGUUGGAUGUGAAAUCCCCGGGCUUAACUUGGGUGGUGCAUCCAAUACUGGUUGGCUAGAGUACAGGAGAGGAAAGCGGAAUUCCUAGUGUAGCGGUGAAAUGCAUAGAUAUUAGGAGGAACAUCGGUGGCGAAGGCGGCUUUCUGGACUGACACUGACGCUGAGGCUCGAAAGCGUGGGGAGCAAACAGG